GACGAACCGUGCGAACGUUGUUCGGAUUCACUGGGCUUAAAGGGCGCGUAGGCGGGCGGUCAAGUCAGGGGUGAAAUCUUUCGGCCUAACCGGAAAAGGGCCUCUGAUACUGGCCGUCUCGAGGGAGGUAGGGGCAUGCGGAACUUCCGGUGGAGCGGUGAAAUGCGUAGAUAUCGGAAGGAACGCCGGUGGCGAAAGCGGCGUGCUGGACCUCUUCUGACGCUGAGGCGCGAAAGCGUGGGGAGCAAACAGG
rnacentral:rRNA from 1 species